rnacentral:rRNA from 1 species
CCUACGGGUGGCAUCAGUGAGGAAUAUUGGUCAAUGGGCGCGAGCCUGAACCAGCCACGUAGCGUGAAGGAUGACUGCCCUCCGGGUUGUAAACUUCUUUUAUAAAGGAAUAAAGUGAGGCACGUAUGCCUUUUUCCAUGUACUUUAUGAAUAAGGAUCGGCUAACUACGUUCCAGCAGCCGCGGUACUACGGAGGAUCCGAGCGUUAUCCGGAUUGAUUGGGUUUAAAGGGAGCGUAGAUGGGUUGUUAAGUCAGUUGUGAAAGUUUGCGGCUCAACCGUAAAAUUGCAAUUGAUACUGGCAGUCUUGAGUACAGAUGAGGUAGGCGGAAUGCGUGGUGUAGCGGUGAAAUGCUUAGAUAUCACGAAGAACUCCGAUUGCGAAGGCAGCUUACUAAACUGUGACUGACAUUGAUGCUCGAAAGUGUGGGUAUCAAACAGGAUUAGAUACCCCAGUAGUC